rnacentral:lncRNA from 1 species
AGUUGCACCCCUUCUGAAAAAACCUACACUCGAUCCCUCCGAUGUCAACAACUACAGACCAACCUAUCUGCUGCCUUUGAUACUGUGAACCAUCAGAUCCUCCUCUCCACCCUCUCCGAGUUGGGCAUCUCCGGCGCGGCCCACGCUUGGAUUGCGUCCUACCUGACAGGUCGCUCCUACCAGGCGGCGAAUCGCAUCUCUGCAUGUCUGUCAGACAUAUCAGUGUGGAUGACGGAUCACCAGCUCAAGCUGAACCUCGGCAAGACGGAGCUGCUCUUCCUCCCGGGGAAGGACUGCCCGUUCCAUGAUCUCGCCAUCACGGUUGACAACUCCCUUGUGUCCUCCUCCCAGAGUGCUAAGAACCUUGGC